CGAAGGCGGCCUUCUGGACAGUACUGACGCUGAGAUGCGAAAGCGUGGGGAGCAAACAGGAUUAGAUACCUGGUAGUCACGCUGUAAACGAUGUCGAUUUGGAGUUUGUUGCCUAGAGUGAUGGGCUCCGAAGCUAACGCGAUAAAUCGACCGCCUGGGGAGUACGGCCGCAAGGUUAAAACUCAAAUGAAUUGACGGGGGCCCGCACAAGCGGUGGAGCAUGUGGUUUAAUUCGAUGCAACGCGAAGAACCUUACCUGGUCUUGACAUCCAUAGAAUUCUGCAGAGAUGUGGGAGUGCCUUCGGGAACUAUGAGACAGGUGCUGCAUGGCUGUCGUCAGCUCGUGUUGUGAAAUGUUGGGUUAAGUCCCGCAACGAGCGCAACCCUUAUUCUUUGUUGCCAGCGAUUUGGUCGGGAACUCAAAGGAGACUGCCGUUGAUAAAGCGGAGGAAGGUGGGGACGACGUCAAGUCAUCAUGGCCCUUACGACCAGGGCUACACACGUGCUACAAUGGCGUAUACAAAGGGAAGCGAAGGUGCGAGCUGGAGCGGAUCUCAUAAAGUACGUCUAAGUUCGGAUUGGAGUCUGCAACUCGACUCCAUGAAGUCGGAAUCGCUAGUAAUCGUAGAUCAGAAUGCUACGGUGAAUACGUUCCCGGGCCUUGUACACACCGCCCGUCACACCAUGGGAGUGGGUUGCACCAGAAGUAGAUAGCUUAACCGCGAGGGGGGCGUUUACCACGGUGUGAUUCAUGACUGGGGUGAAGUCGUAACAAGGUAACCA
rnacentral:rRNA from 1 species